UGGGGAAUAUUGGACAAUGGGCGCAAGCCUGAUCCAGCCAUACCGCGUGGGUGAAGAAGGCCUUCGGGUUGUAAAGCCCUUUUGUUGGGAAAGAAAAGCAGUCGGCUAAUACCCGGUUGUUCUGACGGUACCCAAAGAAUAAGCACCGGCUAACUUCGUGC
rnacentral:rRNA from 1 species